rnacentral:lncRNA from 1 species
AUAAUGUUAUGGAAGAAAUAUUUUACAGCAUGAUUGACGUUAUAGAAAAUCUUGCAACAAAGAGGAACAUGCAAAAAAAAAAGUGCCACUGUGUUCUCUCCGAGCUAGAUGGUGGUGACAGAGGAUUGAAGUCAUCCAUCCCUGCCUUCACGUCGCCGCCGGCGAGCUCCAACCUUCGACCAGCACCGUUGUCGUUGCCGACAGCACCGUCGGCUAAUUAUUAUAAAAUUCUUGCAACACACAUGAUGUUGCAGAAUUUUUUUGCAAUGAAAAUGGUGAUAAAAAAACACCGCCGUCGUUGCCGAUAGCACCACCAUCGCUCGCCUCCGUCGCCACCAACCAGAAGGCCAUCCACCUCCAAGCUCUCGUCCCAAGCGCCACCAAUGUCCAUCGUCGGUUGCAUCCGUCGGUGAGCAUGUAUCCUACCUCCACCUCUGAGCUCUCGUCUUGAACACCACCAAUCCCCGUCAUCAGUCGCGUCGACCGACGAGCUCACGUCCUGCCUCCAUGAGCGCUUGUUGUUGUAACCCCUAGCUACUUCUUGCAUGCUACCCUCGGGGGCAUGGCCGGUGGGCACAAGCUAGAGCAGUUCGUGGGUGUCUCCGUGGGAGCUAAUUACCAUGCUGCUUGCGUGUGUGGUGGAUGAGGCUGGAUGGCUAAAAGGAAGAAG